GGUGAGGUGGCCGAGAAGCUGAAGGCGCCCCCGCUAAGGGAGUAUGCGGUCAAAGCUGCAUCCGGGGUUCGAAUCCCGCCUCACCGCCA
rnacentral:tRNA from 1 species